UACGAAGGGGGCUAGCGUUGCUCGGAAUCACUGGGCGUAAAGGGUGCGUAGGCGGGUCUUUAAGUCAGGGGUGAAAUCCUGGAGCUCAACUCCAGAACUGCCUUUGAUACUGAAGAUCUUGAGUUCGGGAGAGGUGAGUGGAACUGCGAGUGUAGAGGUGAAAUUCGUAGAUAUUCGCAAGAACACCAGUGGCGAAGGCAGCAAACUGGUCAUCAACUGACGCUGAGGCGCGAAAGCGUGGGUAGCAAACAGG
rnacentral:rRNA from 1 species